AACAUACUCCCUCCGUCCAACAAAAGAUGUCUCAACUUUGACUAAAUCUCAAAUUUAGUCAAAGUUGAGACAUCUUUUGUUAGACGGAGGGAGUACACG
rfam:Brachypodium distachyon strain Bd21 chromosome 4, whole genome shotgun sequence.